CAGAGUGCACCGGUGCAGCUGUCCAGGUCGUUGUCCCCGGCGAGCAGCGUGGAGUCAGGAAGAGGAGUGGAAAAGAGGAUUCAUGACCUGGAGGAGCUGCUCAGACUGAAGACGGACGAGAACGAGGAGCUGCGGAGGGCCCAUGAGAAACGCCACGAGCGCCUGCGUCUCGUCCAGACCAACUACCGGACGGUCAAAGACCAGCUCCGAGAGGUGGAGGACGCACAGGGCCGGCCCAGGGGCAGGGCCCAGCAGCGGGCAGAGCCGUGGCAGCUCCGCCAGGAGAACAGCGAUGCGUGUGGAACGAGCUGGCCUACUUCAAACACCUCAACAAGAAGCUCACU